rnacentral:rRNA from 1 species
GACGAACGCUGGCGGCGUGCCUAAUACAUGCAAGUCGAACGAGAGCGACCGGUGCUUGCACUGGUCAAUCUAGUGGCGAACGGGUGAGUAACACGUGGGUAACCUGCCCAUCAGAGGGGGAUAACAUCCGGAAACGGAUGCUAAAACCGCAUAGGUCUUCGAGCCGCAUGGCUUGAAGAGGAAAAGAGGCGCACGCUUCUGCUGAUGGAUGGACCCGCGGUGCAUUAGCUAGUUGGUGAGGUAACGGCUCACCAAGGCCGUGAUGCAUAGCCGACCUGAGAGGGUGAUCGGCCACAUUGGGACUGAGACACGGCUCAAACUCCUACGGGAGGCAGCAGUAGGGAAUCUUCCGCAAUGGACGCAAGUCUGACGGAGCAACGCCGCGUGAGUGAAGAAGGUUUUCGGAUCGUAAAACUCUGUUGUUAGAGAAGAACAAGUGCUAGAGUAACUGUUAGCGCCUUGACGGUAUCUAACCAGAAAGCCACGGCUAACUACGUG